rnacentral:rRNA from 1 species
UGGGGAAUUUUGCGCAAUGGACGAAAGUCUGACGCAGCGACGCCGCGUGUGCGAUGAAGGCCUUUGGGUCGUAAAGCACUGUCGACCGGGACGAAAACUCACGGACUAAUACUUCGUGAGUCUGACGGUACUGGUAAAGGAAGCACCGGCUAACUCUGUGCCAGCAGCCGCGGUAAUACAGAGGGUGCAAACGUUGCUCGGAAUUAUUGGGCGUAAAGCGCGUGUAGGCGGCUUGUUAAGUUGGUUGUGAAAACCCAUGGCUCAACCAUGGAAGUGCGUCCAAAACUGGCAAGCUAGAGUUCUGACGAGGAUGGCGGAAUUCCCAGUGUAGAGGUGAAAUUCGUAGAUAUUGGGAGGAACACCAGUGGCGAAGGCGGCUCCCUGGACCCAAACUGACGCUGAGGCGCGAAAGCCAGGGGAGCAAACGGGAUUAGAUACCCCUGUAGUCCCUGAGCGGGCUGGCAAGGCGCAU